GGAGUGUCUAUAUAUAUAUAUAUAUAUAUAUAUAUAUAUAUAUAUGAAUAUUUCUUAUGAGUUAAAAAAGACUCUACUUAUAAAAAACCUGAGGAAGCUAUAAUAAUCUAAGUUUAUAAUAAUCUAAGCUUAUCUGGUAUGCUAUUUUUCAUUUUCCCAUUCAGCUAUGACCCUUGUACUUUUACUUAUUCAUAGCUGUCAGACUUGGUAAAUUUUGAAUUUUAAACCCCCCAAAAAUGCAUCCUGCACAGCUUUCAGCGGGGUUGGGGCAAAUGUUCUUUUAUAAAAGAAGCAUCAUAUCCGUGUAAAAAAAGACUUGAAACAGAGAAAAACCUUCAAACUAAAAACUCUCAGCAGACCUGCUUAUAAAGUUCAUUUUAGGGGCAGGAGCUCUGGGCCCAGGAUCAAGUUGGUGAUUUGGCCCUGCCACUUGCACCUGCCAGAUCUCAGGCUCAUCACUUGCCUCUCUGAGUCUCCAUUUCUUUCACAAAAUGGGACCAGAGAUACUGGAGGUAUUUCUUCUGUAAAGCCAUUGCAAGGAUUAGGUGACUCAUAGGUAGUGUUUCUCUUUGGUCCUUGAAAGCUGCAGGGUACUGAAUGGAUAUGAGACCAUUCUUCAUUCUAACUUCUUUCUGAAUCUUUUAGUAGGCUUCUAUUCUUCUGCCAUCUUGAUCUGGGAGCUGUGAUGGGAAAGGUUAGGAGGUGGAGUAUAUUCCAUAUAGGAUGCGGAUAGUUGGAAAUGAGGAAAGAAUUCCAUACCAUCUAUUGGAGGAAGUAGCAAGCAGAAGAAAGUAUAAGAGGCAAUGCUUGGUCCUAUACAAGAUGGGAAAUGGAAUUGGAAGUUUCACAUUAAGCUGGGAUUUCUUGAAAGGCCACACUUUCUAUGAACUGGUGAGACAGAAAAAUCUACCAACCGACAAAGGAAUCUUGGCUGUUUGAACUCGUUCAACACUGAAGUCCUCCAUGUGUGCUUAUCUAUAUGGCAAAGUUACAGGCAAAACUAAAAGUGACUUUGAUUUUUUCCUUAUUCACACUAUCUUUGAUGAUUUCAAUUUUAACCUUUUACUAGUAUCACAAAACGAGUUGGAAACUGUACAUUUCUUUUUAACUGGAAACAUUUAUACAUGAUUAGAAUUAUUUUUUCUUUCUUGUGUGUUUGACAAAUUAGCAUGCAAAACUGUUGGUUCCUAGGUUAUUUCUUGUCUGAGAGGUGCAUUUUAAGCCAUUGAUUCUGUUUAAUGUUUAGGACUGUUAAAAUUUAGCAUUGUUUUCUUAAGAUACAUUGAUAAGUAAUCUUUUUUAGCAAUCAAGAAGUCACUUGCUGAAUCAAAAGCUGCACGGACUUUUGAUAGUUCCAGAAUCAUGCUACUUCUAUGAUGAUUUGCACUAGCAAAAUGCCUUCAAUACCCAAGAAGCCAAGGUUCAGAUUCAACUCUAGCUGCUGCAGAAAACUCCUGCAUUCAUAACUGUUCACCAGCCCAAUGGCAAGAAUACUAGACAUGUGACCUUCUAAUGAUAUGCUGGUUCCACAUUCCAAGUCUAGUAUGUGCAUAUCAGAUCCUGAUCCCCUCUACAAGAGAGAAAAUACAGUUUAUUUCCUGACUUUGGAUUUUAUAAGAGGUCAGCAAGAUUACUAGACAUAUGAUCAACAUACAAAGGUCAAUUGUGAUCCUAACAUAGCAAAUGAGAAUUAAGAAAUGUAAUUUUACAAAAGUGAUAGCAUGUACAAUGGCAUAAAAAAUAUAAGGUAACUGGGAAUUAAUCCUAUAAAAUGUGUGAAUAACCUUUUUGGAAGAAAGAGUUUUAUUGAAAUAUAAUUAAAAAUGUCAAAACAAAUGGAGCAAUAUGCCAGACUCAUUAAUAUAACAAGUGUUAAUAUCCUAAAUAUAUCAAUUUAUCCCAUAUUGAGCUAUAAAUUAGAACUUCCUGCAACAUCUCAGAAAUGUUUUGCAAGGAAUUUGACUAAGGUGUCCUAAAAUUUAUAUGGAUAACCAAAGCUUCAAGAAUACUUAACAAGAUGUUGAUGAAGAGUUAAUGCAGGAAUUUGCCCUUCCAGGUAUCAAAAUACAUUAUAAAACUAUUCUAAGACUGGGUGUAAUUGCCUUAAGGAAAGACAAAUACACUAGUGGAUCAGAGAACACAGGUAUAAACACAUACACCUGGAAACUUGAUUUGUAGCAAAAUUGGCUUUCAAGAUCAGUGGGGAAAGGAUGAGCAAUAAAACAAGUGGAAAUGGAAUAGCUGGUUAUUAAUGUGAGGGGAAAUGACUAAAAUUAGUAUUGCAUCUUACCCCUGAACAAAAAUCAACUCUGGGGUGCUUAAAGACCUAAAAUAUGAAAACAGAUUCUGAGAGUUUUCAAAGAAAUCAUAAGACAAUAUUUUUAUUACUUCAAGGUAUGAGAGCAUUUCUUAACAAGAUACAAAAAAUGCAAACCCUAAUUUAAAAAACUGAUAACUUUGACAACAUCAAACCUAAAACCUUCUUCAUAUCCAAAAACCCAUAAAUAGAGGGGCAUUUUAAUUUGUGGUAAAAUAUUUGCAGCCAAAAUGACUUGAAAUUUUUACUACUAAGAAUAUGUGAACAAAUCCUAUAAAAGAAUAAGAAAAAUAUAAGUAAAAUAAGCCAGAAGAAAAUAACCCAAACAAAUAAAUAGGUAUUUCAUACAAGCAACAGGAAUGGGUAACACAUACUUGAAAAAUAUUUAAGCUCACUAUGGUUAGGGAAAGGCAUAUAAAAACCGUGAGAUAAAAUUUCACACUCAUCAAAGCAACACAAAGAUUAACAUGUCUAAUAUUAUUAGGUGUUGGCAAAGAUGUGGAAAAACAUUUCUAGCACUGACGUGUGGCUAUAAAUGCAACUAUUUUGGAAAACAAAUUGGAGACAUCUUGAAAAGUUGAACAUGGUCAUACUUUUCAUCAAGUAAUGACACUUCAGUAUAUGCCUUUGGGAAACUCUCCCAUGUGCUUACAAGGAGGCAUGUACAAAAAUGUGCUUAGCAGGAUUCUUUGUAAUGUAAAAAUUUGAGAACAAUUUAAAUCCCUGCCAACAGAAAAAUAAAUAUAGCAUGCUCAAAUAGUGUAAAGUUAUACAGCAGAACUUCCCAAAUUUUUCACAUCGUGGCACACAUAAAAAAUAACAUUUGUAUGGCAUGCUGCUAUAACCUAGAGGGGAUUUAGGGUCCUUUAUAUGUAGAAUGCCUAUAUAUUAUGCUUUGUCCAGGACAAUACUGGUUUGUCCAGCACCCUUUCCCAGUUUAAGCUAUUGUACCAGGGUAAUUAUUAACAGUGACUGUUGAAUUUCCAAAAUAUUCUAGUUUGAACAAAAAAAUUAUAAGUUCACGCUUUGUCUAUAGGGCUUAGUGAAACAAAUUCCAUUAUAUUUUUGUUAUAAACACGAAAAAGAUAAAAGACAAUUAUGGAAGCUAUUCAAUACGGGAAUGUUAAAACAUAG
rnacentral:lncRNA from 1 species